ensembl:lncRNA
CCUGGGCAAGUAGCAAGCUGAACGGGCUGCCAACUUUUCUGAUAUCCCCACAGGCUGGCGUUUUCUGCCCAGCCAGAUAGCCUCUGAAUCUGUGGUUCUGUCCAACUGUUACUUUUACUUACCACUUUUUCUCAUCCUCAUUAGGAAUUGCAAGUGAAAUUUCUCAAGAUCUGCUUAACAACUCACAGCACUGCACAAUUUCCAGGGCAGUAGGACUAUGUUGGCUUCAGUGAGAUCUUCUAAUCUUGUUUCGUCUUUACUUUACUGAUAUUAUCUGCUCAAUUGAUUGCUCUCAGCAUAAGGUUCAGCUCACUCAUUCUUUGACUGAUUCAUAUAAGCUUCCUUUGGACUUGUCUCCCAGGCCUAAAAAUGCUCCUUUCAUGAGGCCUGUUGUCCUGAAAACUGUAACCACAACAGCUCUAGAGGGAUGGGAUGUGUGCCUGACAGAAGGCACAGAAAGCAAUUGAAGUGAGCAGGAGUGCUUGCAACCAUUGGGCUGCUCAUCUGGUGGCUGAUGAAUAUGAAGCCAUAAAAUUAUCUCUGGCAAAAUUUCCUCUCCUGGACUUCUCUGUGCCCUCGAGGAGCUACUGGAUAUCUUUCCCCAACUAUCAGGAGUGAACUGCUUUGCUGUAUGACACACAAUGUGAGAGCUCACCACAGGACCAAAAACAUGGGGCCAAACUGAGCAUGGAUUGAUACCCCAAAGCUGCAAAUCAAAAUAAACUUCUCUCCUUGGGUCUUGCUAUGUCACUAAGUUGCCCACACGGCCCUGAUACUUUUGAUCUGGCUGCCUCAGCCUCCCAAAGUGCUGAAAUUACAGGAAAUAAGAGUCAAGAGCAGAGAAAUCUGAUACCUAUUAUUCAUGGUCAAAAGCAGGACAAGGAGAAGUACCAGGCCUUGGGAAAGCAGGACUCCACCUUCAAAGGAUGGGGCUUGAGACCUGGCUUGGAAGUGUUUGCGCGGAAGUAAGAGAAAGCCCCCAUCCUCCUCUCGGUCCUGCAGCACUGGAAACCAGAAAAAAAAAUAGUCUCAAAGAUACUUCUAGAGAAUGGUGUUCACUGGGUGGAAAUUUAGGUGUAAUGCUGUGAGUGAAACUUCAAUAGGCACUGAGGAUCUUCCAGAGAGGUUUCAAAUAUAAACUGGUUUGAUGAAAGGAAGCGCCAGAAACAGCUUCUUAUUGAGUGUUUCCUUGAAGUAGUAUUGUUUCAAUGCUGUUGAAUAUUAAUGAUGGAAGGAAGCUCAUUCCAUCUGCUCUCUUAUUCUGACUUUAGCAAGUUAUGUUCCUUAUUACUUCCACAUUUCUGACCAUUCUUCAAAACCAGAUUACAAGUUUUUAUUCAGUGUUUACUGUAUGUAUUUAAUGAUCUGUUGUGGGAGGUCCUAUGGGGAAACAGAUCGCAUGUCAUUUCCCUCCAUUAAAAUUAUUGCAUUCUUACAUCUCCAACUCCACUCCUUGGUUGCCCUUCAUGCUUUUGCUACUUGUAACUUCUUCCCUGUGCUUCAAAAUCUUGCGUUCAAUUCAUCUUACCCGGACUCAGCCAAGUGGCAUUUACCCCCUUCUUCACUGUAUUUCCAAAGAAAUACGUUCUUAUUGCAAAUGGCACUUUUAAAUAUUGUUUCGCACUGACUUGUUUACAUGCUCUAUUGCCACUGUGUUGUAAAUUCAUGUCCGAGUCAUCCCUGCAGUUGUUCAAAAUUAGUUCCCAAUAAAAUUGAUGACUAUUUGCCUGUAAGGAGCUUACUGUUUCUUUAAACAGGAAGCAUGUUUAAAACAACUCAAAAUUGUAGAAGGCAAUAAUUAAUUAAUUCAUUAAUUCAGUGAAUUUUUAUUAAUUGCAUGUUUUAGUCUGAGGAGAGAAGUGAAUAAGACUUGGUAUCUGACUACAUAGAAUUUAAAAUUUGGGCUCAGACAGAGAUGUUAAAUAAUAAAUUAUAAAAAUUAUUUGUGAUUAGUGUAGCAGUAAAGAAAUGCAGACUGUGAGCAGACUAUGAAGAAAAUGUGCACAGGGGAACAGUAUGUUCAAAGGCCCUGAAGUGACAAGGAGCUGGGUCCUUUAGAGAAACAGAAAAGUUUGGGGCCCUUGAUGCAGGAACAGGUAGAGUAAACUGGCAGGAGAUCAAUUUGGGGACCAAGAGUUAAGAUCACAUAGGGGUUUUGAGGUCAUGUUAAAAUAUCUGGGAUUUAUUUUAAAAUUUCAGGAAAUCAUUGAAGAAAAUUAAGCAAGACUGCAACAUAAUUUAGUUUACUUUGGUUUUGUUUGAUAUAAGGUCUCACUAUAUAGCACAGACUGUCCUCAAACUCGAGAUCCUUUUGUCUCAUACUCCAGAGUGCUGAGACUAAGUGUGCACUGCUACAUCCUUCAAUUUACCUUUUUAGAGAAGAAUACUCCAGCUGCUAGAUGAAUAUUGGAUAUGGGGAGAAAAAUUAGGAGGGUAAAUGAUGAUCAUACCUAAUGUUAAUGUGUCUAUUUAUGUUAUGGACAUUGUCAAUGGAAAUAGAGACAGUAUAUGGAUUUGAGAGACUCAUAGGAGCCAUGUCUCACAGGAUUUAAAGAUUGACUGUGUAUGUGUGUGUGUGAGUGGAAGUAGUGAAGAAUAGAGGAAUAAGAGAGAAGAAAACAUCAAAGAUGACUUCCAUCAUCUUGGGAUUGAACAACUUUGUAACAGUUGGGGCAAUUUUAAAUGUUUAUAUAGACUAUUAAAAAAAAAAGAAAAGUUGCCAACCCCAAGCUCCUUCAUCAUUUUUUUGAACAUGAAAUUCCCUUGGGUCUUUGUAAAGUAUUCAAGUGACUCCUAUGAAAGCCAAAGGACUCAGGCUGGUGGUGACAGGUGACCUCUUAAGGCAUUUUUGGUAGGGUUGGCUGAGACCCUAACUGCUAUCAAGGAAUUGGCACCAUGCCUGGACUUGUCUGGAGAGGGGCUCUUCUAGUAGGUGGUGAGAUGGGGGAAAGGGAAGAUAGAAAGCACAGAAAAAGGCGUAUCUUUCUUAUCGACAAAUGUAAUAAUUUUGCUGAACAGUGAGGAGCUACUAAAAGGAAUAUAUAAUACUGUUUCUAGAGAAGUAGGCUUGGCAAAUGUGCACACAUAAUUCAAUUUAGAUCCCUUCCUCUGUGCUCUCAACUGAACUCUCUGUCACCCUACAGGCAACCUUCCCCACAAGUUCAAGAAUCUCUUGGAGCUUCAAUGUCCCUGAUAGCAAUUUCCUACAACUUUCCCUGAAACACUGAGCUUAGAAGCCCAUAUGAUGUAUCUGUGACUCAAUAUCACUAAUAAUUAAGGUAAUAGAUUUAAAAGUAUCUCCAAAAGUUUUAGCUUUCUGCCACCCCGGCCUGCAGCUCCCUUCAUCCCACCCUCCGAGCUAAACACAAAGGAGCUCCUCUGAGGAAGCCUGUACUACUCUCUAAAAAGCACUGGGUGGCAGCAGAGGAGCUCCUUCACUGCGGUGAAAAAGGCUUCUGCACAAGCAUGUGGGCAAAUGGCCAAGCUUUAGCUUCCCACUGUUACCUGAAUUAAACGCAGAGAAAAUAUAAAAGAGGAAAAGUAGCACAGUUAGCUAAAUGCUGCUUCAUCAGUUCAGUCUGCUUGGUAUUCAUGUCACAUAGAGGAAAAACGGUUUUCCAAGUACACUUGUUUUGUUUGAUGAAGUAAAUACAUUUUUUUGUUUUCUUUAUAAGUCAUAAAAUUGAUUCCCAUUAAGUGAAACCUAAGUGAAUCUCAUUAUUAAAUUGAGGAUUAGUCCUUUAAAAAACUGUCCUUUGAUAGUAUUAAGUCACCAUUAGGAACGUAGCAAAUCUUUUAAAAUAGCCCUUUAGAGGAAAAUAAUAAAGCCUUGCCAAAAUAUUGACAAUCAUAUGAAAAUCUUGACAACUAAUUCUAAAAUAUCAGUAACAUGCUAUAUUCCAAAGAAGUCAUCAAAUAGAAAAUAUUAAGAGAAAAAAGAUAGUACAAUACCACAUUCUUUAGAAGUAAAUGAUCAAUCUUGUACCCAUUUGCUCCUCAAAUAUUUUGUGUUUUGUUCAAUUUUUUCAUUGCCUUGAAUGGUCUUAUGUCCUACAUACUAAAUAUAACUUUUAGAAAAAAUUUUCUUUCUAUAAUUGAAUGCAAGCUCUUUCCAAGUAUUAUCUCAUGAUGGCCUAAGUAAUGUAUGUAUCUAUCAGAGGGUGGAUGUUUCUUAGUAGGUUAUAAUGCUCUUACUAAGUAAUAUUUACAUAAUUGGUGAUAGUUUAAAAUUAUAUUUGCACUUAUUAUCUCAUUUAAUCUUUACAACAGAAUGUUAUAUAGGGAUUAUUAUCAUCUCUAUUUUACUGGGGAGAAAAAAGAGGAUCAGAAAGGCCAAAUAACUUGCUCAAGGUCACACAUAUUUUAAGUGACAGACCUUGGAAACAAACCUAGGCUCUUUUACUUUAAAGGGUAGGAUCCCUUUCCUGUUACUCACUGCCUUCCAAACAAUUUGCAUGUUUAAAAAUUAUGUUCACUUAUUUUAAAAAAACAUAGAGGCAUGUAAAGAAGAAAAGACAAUAGCUCACUCUUAAGACAAUGGGAAACCACUGAAGGAUUUUAAGCCAAGGGCUGACAGAUGCACAUUUUACUAAAGACAACUCUGGCUCCAGUGUGGGAGGUGGUUUGGAGACAGAAAACAUAGGUGUGGGGAGAUUGGCUAGGUGGUCAUUUACCAGCGGUUGGGGAAAAGUGGUAGCUGUGGGUGGUAGCAAUUUAGGUCAUGAACACUGGGCAGAUUUGAGAGCUAUUUAGGAAUUAGAUUGAGCAGGUCUUGGUGAUUGACUAGAGACUGGAGAAAAAGGAAAACGAGUAUCAAGGAUAAAUAUUAGGAUGGGCAAAUGAUUGGUUGGAGGCAUUACUUGCUGAAACACAAAAUAUUAGGAAAAUAUCUAGAUUUUCUUGAAAUGUUACUUGAUCACUAUUCAAUGACAAAAAUCCUUAUGAACAGAAAUGUUUUUAAAAUUUAAAAUUUCAAUUAAGAAAGGUUGAAUUAUUUUUCCUGGAAUAUUUUUCUUCCUGUAUUUUCCCAGGCUGCAAAUUGAAGCCUGAUCUACCACCUCUAAGAAAUGUUCCUAAAUUUUCCCAGACCAAAAGCUGUCCUUUCUGCUUUCCCAUGGCACCAUGUCUUUGCCUACAUUUUGCUAUUUGUCCUUACCACUCCACCUAAACUAUAAUGCUCAGGAGUUAUAUACCUCAGGAAAUAUAUGCUGAAUAAAUAAUGGUCUUGAAUUUCCAUUUUUCCUUCCAUUUUAGAGGAUAGUUUUCCUAUUAAAAAAGGGAAAAUUCCACAUAUCAAACAAGAUAUCUAAUCCAAAAAUAAGGGUAGGAAGAGAUUAAGAGAUACUUAGAGUUCUAGUUGAUAUUAUCAAUCUUAGCUCAUAUUUAUGGCAUGUGUGUUUACAUUCAUUGAGGUUAUUAGGUUCCUGUACAUGGCAUAUCUUUACACUUGAUCUUAGCCAAAAGGCCGAGAAGCGAUACGUGACAUAUCUUUAUUCUCCUUAUCCUUUCCCCUCCCCCUCAUCCUUGAUCUUUUGGGCCUCUUCCCAUUUGGAGGAGAUCCAUCCCCUUGUCUCCGGCUUUCCAUCCUUUAUUAUUCUCUUUGUACUUUGCCUUACUCAAAUGAGGGAUACCAUAGCGUAUUUAAGCUUGUGUGCCUCAUUGAUUUCACUCAACAAACACGUACUAAUAAAAAGAGAGAUACUUAGAGUUCUAAUCCAAAAUAAUGUAAGUUCUACCACCAGAUAUGUUACUUAAUAGGUUAGAAAAUUCUUUAGAUGUGAUCUCAGAACUGUGAGUGAUAAUCUUUAAGAAAUCAUAGAGAAUGUCAGAUGGCUCAAAUGAAUAGAAAUGGGAGGAUGCCACAAUUCUAAGUAGAAAAUAUGGUUGGUUCCAGAAUCAAUAACUCACUAAUUUUAUACAAACCAGG